GCCGUGGCUCAGUGUCAGAGCAUCCGCUUUGCAUGCAGAAAGUCCCAGGUUCAAUCCCCGGCAUCUCCA